AUUUUGUUUCCGUUUCCUAUUGUCAUAUUACGUCUCAAUUGUUUCUGUCUUAGUUGUUCUCUAUAUAGACUCAUUAUCGAUCAUGUAAGUAUAUAGCAGUCUCAGAUUUAUUUACAUACAUAUAUUAGUGUACAUCUUGAACGCCACUUCAUAUGUACUUGAACAUUUCAAAUGCGCUAAGAACCUAAAUGGGAGAUUCAACAUACAUUCGGAGGGGGGAAUAAAAGAAUAUUAAAAGGUUAUACAAAUCGUACGUCUGACUAUAUCAGAUCUCUUUAAAAUCUUCAGGUAGAAGUUAUCUGUUUGCAAACGACAUUUUUAACACAAAUUUUUCACACA
rnacentral:lncRNA from 1 species